GGCUCCCAUAUGGAUUUGCUUUGUUUUCGUUUCUCAACGGUUUAUAAGCAUAAUGGAGAGUGAAAGUACUGAAUUAUGCGCCAUUUGCCUAAUGAGCUUGACGAAUACGGUAAAACUUAAUUGUAAACACACUUUUUGUGAAGAGUGUGUAAAUAACUAUCUUUUCCACAACAAAUUGAAACGCCGCUGUCCGCUUUGUCGCUCACGAUUCGUCUAUUAUGAGCAUUCAAAUGAAGAAAAGCUAGGACAAUUUUUUGACUUUGACUCUGAUUCAAGUAUUUCAAGCAUUUCAAGUGAUUCAAGUCAUUCAAGUGAUUUAAGUGAUUCAAGUGAUUUAAGUCAUUUAAUAAGUCCUUUUUUUAAGUCCUUGCAUCACGCAAGUGAUUCCAGUGAUUAAAGCGAUAUCGAAAAAGUUAAACAUCCAUUAUACGAUGCUGACUGGAUAUUGAAGAUAUUUAUCAACGAGGAAGAUAUUUAUUUAUUAUAUAUAAAUUUAUAUCUUUAUUUUUCUAUUUAAGAAUUAUUGAUAAAUGCCUA